GACGAACGCUGGCGGCGUGCCUAAUACAUGCAAGUCGAACGGAAAGGCCCGGCUUUUGUGGGGUGCUCGAGUGCGGAAGGGGGGAGAAAAACGUAGGUACCCUCCCUUGACUUUGGGGUUAACUCUAGGAAACGGGGGCUAUAACCGCAUGGAACCUCUUCUGCCAUGUUGGGGGUUGAAAAGUUCGGCGGGUGGGGUUGGUCGUGGGGCUUUCCUGGUUGUUGGUGGGGGUUGGGGUUACCAAGGCCUUGGAGGGUAGCCGGCAUGAGAGGGGGAACGGGCACAUUGGGACUGGGAAACGGCCCAGACUGCAACGGGAGGCAGCAGUGGAGAAUAUUGCACAAUGGGCGGAAGCCUGAUGCAGCAGUGCCGCGUGCGGGAUGACGGCCUUCGGGUUGUAAACCGCUUUCGCCUGUGACGAACACUGAGUGACGGUAAUGGGUAAGAAAGCACCGGCUAACUACGUG
rnacentral:rRNA from 1 species